rnacentral:rRNA from 1 species
AUACGGAGGGUGCGAGCGUUGUUCGGAAUUAUUGGGCGUAAAGAGCAUGUAGGCGGUCUGUUAAGUCUGGUGUGAAAGCCCGGGGCUCAACACCGGAAGUGCAUUGGAUACUGGCGGACUUGAGUAUGGGAGAGGAAAGCGGAAUUCCGAGUGUAGGAGUGAAAUCCGUAGAUAUUCGGAGGAACACCAGUGGCGAAGGCGGCUUUCUGGACCAAUACUGACGCUGAGAUGCGAAAGCGUGGGGAGCGAACAGGAUUAGAAACCCCGGUAGUCC